rnacentral:misc_RNA from 1 species
AAGUCGUAACAAGGUUUCCGUAGGUGAACCUGCGGAAGGAUCAUUUUUGUAGGCAACUCUGCUCCGCAGAGUUGGUUACUACUCAUGCACCUGUGAACGCAGCGCAGCUGCACAUUUGCAUAUGCUUGUGGACAAUAAAGAGAACAACAGAAUACAACCUUUAGCAAUGGAUCUCUUGGCUUCU